CUUUUCUAAUGCACUCCUAUUAAAUAAUAGUAUUGGACGGUAUUUCUAAUUUCUGAACUCAAUUCGCAAUAUUGAAUGGUUAACCUCAAUAUAUGUAACUUGUUUUCCUGGUUUUACCCUUUCUGAUAAGUCUGAGCUCAAAUACUUCAUUUUCAGUAAGAUUGAAUCGGAUUAUCACGCCAUACGAAUUUUAAAAUAGGAUACAGAUAUUCCUGGGGAUAUACGUCCAGCUGUGGAACAGCCCAUCGAUAACGAGCUUGUAUUGAUAAAAGUAACAGAUUUUAUGAAUAACCCGCGAUGUGAUGGAUUCCCAGACAACAGAAGAGGCUUUAUACUUGAAGUUAUUUCCAGCCUUCAUUGCCACUAAUCUUAUGUAACACUGAUUUUUAAAGUUCUGAAAUAAUAUGCGAGUUUCCCGGGAAAAUCUGGAAUACACAAUCGUUUAGAGGGGCAGGCGAACAAAAACACCUAAUUAUUCAUAGGAAUAAUUCUGAGAAAAAAUAAACGGGAAGAUAAUAUUCCACCCAGUUGAUUAAUUGUCGCUAAUAAAACAAACUUCAAAAGUGCAUACGAUAAACCUAACGAUGCAACGUCCGAAGAGGAAUGUCAAUGUCGUUGAAACGGAGAAACUUAUUAGAUUCUAAAGUGAAUUAAUAGGCGGGGAAUGUUAAUUGUGUAGCAUGAUUAACAAAAAAUAAAAGCUGCAUGGCUGAUUGGAAGUUAAGAUUGGAGAACGCUAUUGGAAUAAUAACGAUAAGAAACAAUCCUGUUUCGACAACUUCAAGUGGAUUAUACCCAAAGUAGUGCAAAUACGAGAUGAGGUCAAAUGCUGUUUUAGCUGUGCUUCUGAUGAUCGUACAAGGUUGUGUGGGUAACCCAGAUGCAAAAAGACUAUAUGAUGAUUUACUAAGGAAGAGCGGCUACAAUAAGUUGAUUCGACCAGUGUUGAACAAUUCGAACACGUUGACGGUGGAGUUGGGGCUCAGACUCUCCCAAGUCAUCGACGUAGAUGAGAAAAAUCAGAUCAUGACCACCAACGUUUGGUUAAGGCAGGAGUGGGAUGAUUAUAAACUGCAUUGGGAUCCAAAGGAAUAUGGCGGAGUGGACAGAUUGUAUGUUCCAUCUACAGAAAUAUGGCUACCAGAUAUCGUUCUGUACAAUAAUGCAGAUGGUAAUUACGAAGUCACGUUAAUGACUAAAGCUACCCUGUACCCCCAAGGGCGUGUAAAAUGGGAACCACCCGCCAUCUAUAAAAGCUCGUGUGAAAUUAACGUAGAAUUUUUCCCAUUUGACGAGCAAAUAUGCAAAAUGAAGUUUGGCUCCUGGACUUAUGAUGGAUACCAGGUUGACCUGGUGCAUAUUGGCCAAGGAAAGAAUGAAGAUGGUGAGGAAGAAGACCAGAUGGAAAGAGGAGUUGACUUGAGGGAUUACUACCGUAGUGUUGAAUGGGACUUACUGGCAGUGCCCGCAAGAAGGAAGGAGAAAUACUACCCCUGUUGCUCUGAGCCAUACCCGGAUAUUACAUUUACCGUCGAGAUGCGCCGCAAAACCUUAUUUUAUACUGUGAAUCUUAUCAUCCCUUGUGUUGCUAUUUCCUUCCUCACUGUAUUAGUAUUCUAUCUGCCUUCUAACAGCGGUGAGAAAAUUACUUUGUGUAUCUCCAUCCUUCUUUCCUUGACUGUAUUCUUCCUGCUGCUUGCCGAGAUCAUUCCACCGACAUCUCUAGUGGUGCCACUGAUCGGCAAGUACUUACUCUUCACUAUGAUUCUAGUCACCCUCAGCAUCAUAGUAACUGUAGUCGUACUUAAUGUGCAUUUCCGGGCACCAUCGACGCAUGUUAUGUCUCCAUGGGUGAGAAAAGUCUUCCUGAAUAUUCUUCCUCGUCUACUGAUCAUGCGUAGACCAAACCUAGAAAAAAACAAAGCACCAAAAGUGAUGGUACGUACGUGUAAUGGGAUAGAGGUUAGAGACACCUUCAAUGAGAUGAGGCGGGACAACUUCACGUUCGCCAACACACCCGACGAGAUGGAUGUUUUAGAGGCAGAGAUGAACGCGGCGCCAGGGUUGCGUUUAAGGCACCCAGACCCUUCUAUUAACAAGGCAAUAGAGGGAGUGAACUAUAUUGCUACACAUUUAAAAGAAGAAGAUGAAAAUGAUCAGAUUAUGGAGGAUUGGAAGUACGUGGCCUUAGUGCUGGAUAGACUCUUCCUUUGGAUUUUUACAACUGCUUGUAUUGUUGGCACUUUUGGGAUCAUUCUGCAAGCCCCGACACUUUACGAUGACCGAGAACCGAUCUCACUUGAGUCCAACUGCAAUCCCGAUCUUGCUGACUCAACAUGUUAACACGAUUAAACCAUUUAUAUAUGAAUUAAAUAUCCAAAUUAAAAACAUAACAUAACACAGUGAUAAUAAUCUGGAUAGGAUACGACACGGAUAUGCAAAUAUGCUCACUAUAAUAGACCAUAGAGAUUUAUGGUUCCUGGUUCGAACCCAGUAGUUGAAGAUAGUGAUAUUAGUUAAACUUACACGUUUUAGAUGUUAUGGCUAUAUUGUUGAUUGGAUGUGAGUUAUUAUUCAGCCAUACCACCUAACACUGUCAUUGACAUAGUUGAUGAUAUUUAUGAACUGUGAUAAUGAUACCCUUUUGUUCAUAUACACUAUGAACAUAUGAAUAAUAUAGACAGGGUAAAAAUGAACCACAUGAAGUGCUUCCCAUUGUACAUUUGAUGAUAUUUGUAUAUAUUUGACUUCUUAUGCUAAAAUUAAAUGAAUUUAAAAACAAUUGUUUUUUUGUUUGCAGUAUAGCAC
rnacentral:misc_RNA from 1 species